CCUACGGGCGGCAGCAGUGGGGAAUAUUGGGCAAUGGGGGCAACCCUGACCCAGCAACGCCGCGUGAGUGAAGAAGUCUUUCGGGUUGUAAACUUCUUUUCUCAGGGACGAAGCAAGUGACGGUACCUGAAUAAUAAGCCACGGCUAACUACGUGCCAGCAGCCGCGGUAAUACGUAGGGGGCAAGCGUUAUCCGGAUUUACUGGGUGUAAAGGGCGGGUAGGCGGGGCUGCAAGUCAGAUGUGAAAACCACGGGCUCAACCUGUGGCCUGCAUUGGAAACUGUAGUUCUUGAGUGCUGGAGAGGCAGAUGGAAUUCCUAGUGUAGCGGUGAAAUGCGUAGAUAUUAGGAGGAACACCAGUGGCGAAGGCGGUUUGCUGGACAGUAACUGACGCUGAGGCGCGAAAGCGUGGGGAGCAAACAGGAUUAGAUACCCUAGUAGUC
rnacentral:rRNA from 1 species